UGGGGAAUCUUGCGCAAUGCGCGAAAGCGUGACGCAGCAACGCCGCGUGGGGGAAGAAGGCCUUCGGGUUGUAAACCCCUUUCAGUUGGGACGAAGGUCCUGUCGUUAAUAGCGGCAUGGACUGACGGUACCUUCACAAGAAGCCCCGGCUAACUACGUGCCAGCAGCCGCGGUAAUACGUAGGGGGCAAGCGUUGUCCGGAAUCAUUGGGCGUAAAGAGCGUGUAGGCGGUUCAGUAAGUCCGUCGUGAAAGUCCAGGGCUCAACCCUGGAAAGCCGAUGGAUACUGCUGGACUAGAGUCCGGAAGAGGCGAGUGGAAUUCCUGGUGUAGCGGUGAAAUGCGCAGAUAUCAGGAGGAACACCUAUGGCGAAGGCAGCUCGCUGGGACGGCACUGACGCUGAGACGCGAAAGCGUGGGGAGCAAACAG
rnacentral:rRNA from 1 species